rnacentral:lncRNA from 1 species
GCAGCACAGGCGCGCGACCUCGCCGUGAGCGCGAGGAUCUCAGGCUCCAGCCCCGGCCCCGCCGCUCUGUCCCCGCCUGACCCGGCAGAGAGGAAGGGGAUGAGGAAAGGAGACAGAGGGCACGGUGACUUUGAGGGACGCCGCGGAGUGGCUGGAGCCCCCCGCGGAAGGAAAGCCGUGUUCAUCGCUCCAGAGUGUAACGACAGCUGUGCCCGGCUGAGCCUGCGCAGAGGGUGGAGAGACGGGAGUGGAUUGUGCAUCCACGCAGCUUUUGAAGAAGCAAUAGCUUGCUGGCUUGUAAGACAGCAAAUUGAGGGGAAAGACCUGCCUGGCUGUGGUAUUACCAACCAAUGGAUGUAUAACCUGGAUGGAAUAAAAAAAAACGGAAAGAAAAAGGAAGUGGGACCUGUUUGAUGAGCUGUGGUCUUUCUGAGCAGGCACGUCCUUUGCUGCUGAUGCCUUCUGGACAUCGGUCUCCGGGUCUCCAGUUUCUUCAGCCUCGGACACAAACUCUCCCUAGUGCUCUCCAGUGAGCUCCCAGCCUUCAGCCCUGGACAGGUUCUGCAUCCUUGACCCCUACUGUUCUGAGGCUUCCAGCUUCUUGGCUUGAGCUGAUCCUGAAUCCUUUGGCUCUCCAGGGUCCAGGUGGCUAUCAUGGACUCUUCCGCCUCUGAGUCUGCCCGCCUGCCUAACUAACCCCUUUGCAGAAUUACACAUCUGCUUCUCUUGCUUCUGUUUCUCUAGAGAACCAUAAUACAUAUAGUGCACAUAUAUCAAUUUCUACCAUAUAUACUUAGGCAUAUACCUGUUAAAUUACAGGAUAUGCAGGUUUUCACCAAGCAAUUUCCAAGGUGUUUGCAGAAAUGUAUACUCCUGUAGAUAGUUCUUUCUUUUCACAGCAUUGCUCUCAUUUGAUAGUGUAACUCUUCUUAAUCUUUUGUUAAUCUCACAUUUUGAAAUAAUUUUAUACUUGAAGAGACUACAGAGAGCUCCCACACAUGACUUAGACAGCUUUCUUCACUGUUAGAAUCCUACAUAGUACAGUUAUUGACGCCAAGAAAUUAAUAGAAUCCUACAUAGUACAGUUAUUGACACCAAGAAAUUAAUGUUGCCACCAGUACCCUAAACAAACCCUGUGAGAGAGCCUAUCUGAAUUCCACUGGUCCUUCCAAUGUCCUUCUUCUGUUCUAGGAUCCAGUGUGAGAUUUCACAUAACAUUUCUGUCAUCUGAGUCCCCCAGCUGUGACGGCUCCUGGUCUUUCCUUUCUCUCAUGCCCUUGACACUUUAUUAAGGGUACUUGUCAGGUAGCUGGUAGAGUGGCCCACAGUUCAGGCAAACUGAUGCUUUCUCAUGGUUAGAUUAAGGCCAUAUAUUUAGGGGAAGGAUGUCACAAAGGUGACGCACCCCCCCCCGAUCCUGGGAGGGGGGCACAUUCAUACACUCACAUCUACGGCCUGGAUCUUCAUUCUCUAAGGUUCUGUGUACUGUUUGUCCACUGUCAACCACUGCUCUAGCUCGAUAUUUGCUUCCCUUCCACAAUUCAUGUUUAGACUUAAUCCAAACAGCAGUAAGAAGUAGGGUGUGCACAAGGGGAUUGAGCAACAAGGGCUCCACUCUCAAGGAUAGGAUUAGCUCUUUAUAUGAGGGAUCAGGAGGUGAGUUUUCCCUUCCAUGCUCUUUUCCUGCUCUGUCCCUUCCACUGUGUGAGAACACAGCAACAUCCCCUCCAGAGUGUGAAGCUGCAAACCACCGUCUUAGCGGAGAGCAGCCCUUACCAGACCUCCAACCCUGGCAACCACUUACUGCAAUUUUGUCCCUAUAGUUUGCCUUUUCCAGAAUGCCAUGUUAAGGAAUAAACAUAGCCUCUUGUAAAUGACUUUUCUCAUUUACCAAUAUCUGUUUAGAGUACAGUGAUGUUGUUGCUUAAUAUUGUAUGAAUCAAUGAUUCAUUCCUUUUUAUUGCUAAAUAGCAUUGCAUUGUGUAGACAGCAUAGGUUUUUAUCCACUCAUUGCCUGAAGGACAUCUGAAUUGUUUCCAUUUUUUAUUGAUUAUUAAUAAAAUUUCUAGAAACAUUGGCAAUUGAAAACAAAAGUUUUCAAUUAACUUGAGUAAGUACCUAAGAGUAAGAUUCCUGGAGCACAUACAUAUUAAGUAUAUGUUUAACUUUGCAAAAAAAAAAAAAGUUUUCAAUGUGGCUGUAACAAUUUGCUUCCCUAUCAGUAAUAUGUAGUAAUUCAGUUGCUUUGCAUUUUUGCUAGCACUUGUUAUUUUUAGUGUUUUGAUUUUAGCCUUUCUAAAACAGUAGUUGUUUCGUGGUACAUCAUUAUGGUUUUAAGUGUCCCUAAUGACUAAAAAUACACAGCAUCUUUAUAUAAACUAUGUGAUAUACUUCUCCAUAGUAAAUUGUCUAUUCAGAUCAUUCGCCUAUUUUCAUCUCUCUCUCUCUCUCUCUCUCUCUCUCUCUCCCCCUCUCCCUCUCUCUCUCUCCCUCAUUAUGUUACCUACACUGAACUUGAACUCUUGAUUCUCCUGCCUCACUCUCCCAGGUAGCUGGAAUGUCAGGCAAGUGCCACCACCAAUUGCUUAAUUUUAUGAAGUCCAAUUUAACAAUUUAAAAAUUUUUGUGUGUUAUUCUUUUGGUGUCAUGAAUAACUUUUGCCAGUCAAUUUCGAAGCUGGUUUUUUGAAAAGUUCAAUAAAAUUGAAAAACUUUCAGUCAGAUUGAAUAGAGGGUAAAGAGAAGACACCAAUUACCAGUACUAAAUAUGGGGGAAAGGUUAUCAUUAUACAUCCUAUUAAAAUAAUAGUAAGUAUAUUGUGAAUAAUUUUAUGGCAAUAAAUUCAUCAACUUAGGUGCAAUGCAUUCAUUCCUUCAAAGACAUAAACUAUCAAAAUUUCCUCAACAUAAAGUAGAAAAUAUAAUAGAAGUGAGCAUAUAUCUAUUAAGGAAUUGAACUUGUGUGUAAAAUUUUGCCACAAGAAAACUCUAGGUCCAGGCAUUUGCAAAUUCUGCCAGACGCUGAGCUAAGAAACAAUUCUACUUCUAUACAAACACUUCCAGAAAUUUAAUGAAAGAAUUCUCACCACCCUAAUUUAUGAGGCCAGCAUUUAUUAUUCAGACCUUAAAAUCAGACAGAGCUGUCAUAAGAAAAGGUUUAGCCCAUAUCCUAACAUAGAUGCAAAACCUAUUGACUACUUUAUAGCACAAUGAAUCCAGCAAUAUAUCAAAAAGCAUAUCACAUUAUCCCCAUUGGAUCUAUUCUAUUGGUUUAAUACUAAAGACCAAUCCAUGUAAAUCACUGUCUUAACAGAAUAAUACCAUGAGCAUCUCAGUGGAUAAAGAACAAACAUUUGACAAAACCCAAUAUCUAUUCGCAAGAGUGGAAGUGCAUACGGAGCAAUCGCACAGGAAGCCAGGAAACCAGGAAAUGGAUGGGCCAGUCUUGGACUUUCAUAACCAGUUAUCCACUCUCAUGGGAACCAUCUGGUUCCCACAAGAACUGCAUUAAUCCCUUCUGAAGUCAGCACCCCGGUGACCUAAUUCCCUUGCACUAGACCCCAUCUAUUGUAAAGGUCCCACCACCCCCACACUGGCACAGAGGAGGACCAUGCACCCAGGACUCUGUGGGAAACACACUGACACUUUAUCCAGGUCAUGUGGCUACAGAAGCCAUUCACCAGAGAGAGGACAAUCUUCCCAACACAGACGCCGGGCAAUUGGAUAUCCAUACUUUAAAAGUGAAUCUCGAUUUUUGCCUCAUACCAUAUUAAAAAUUGACAUCAAAUUAAGCACAGACCUAAAUAUAAUUGCCAAAACUGUAAAAUUUCUAGAAGAAAACAUAGGGAAGAACAUUAAUUUUAACUCGCACAUUUUCCUUAAAUUAGAUAUAAAAAUGCAAACUAUAAAAAAAUUAAUAAACUAAACUUCAUAAAGGUGAAGAAUGCUCUUCAGAACACAAUGUUAUAAAUGAAAAGGCCAAGGCAUUAAAAAAGGGGUAAAUUAUUUCAAAUAUAUGGCAAAUAAAUGGCUUCUUUCUAAAAUAUGUAAGAGCUCUCUUGUUCUCUUCUGCUAAGCUAGGCAUGGUGAUGCAUGCCUGUAAUCCCGGCCCUCUGGGAAGCUGAAUCAGGAGGAUUACAAGUUCAAACCCAGCCUGAAAAACUUAGUAAAAAGGGCUGAAGGUGAAGCUCAGUAUGAAGGCCCUGAGUUCUAUCCUCAGUACCGCAAAAUAAAAUAAAAUGUAUAAGAAUCAUCAUGACUCAGCUAUGAAAGUAGCUUCUUAUAUUGGUAUUGUUGAAAAGGUGAGUGUAAUAUUAAUAUGUUUCUCUGUCUUAAAAUUAUUGUGACAUGGCAC